AUGACUAGGAGGUGGGUCAGGCUAUACAAUAUACAUGCGCAAAACCAUAUAUUCAACACCCCCCGCAGUCGAAGCGUCGCCGGAGACGCAAAGACUGGACCUGAACUCCUCGAAGACAGAAGUAGGCAGUCCUUUUGUCAUGACGUCGGCGAACUGCUGCGCCGUCGAGACGUGGAGGACCCGGAUGCGCCCAAGAGCCACCUGCUCACAAACGAAGUGUAUAUCGAGCUCAAUAUGCUUCGUUCGACGAUGGUGGACCGGGUUGGCGGAGAGGUAGACGGUGGAGACGUUGUCGCAGUAGACGAGCGUGGCCUUGUGAACAUCACAAAGCAACUCCUGGAGCGGCUGACGAAGCCAAGAGCAUUCAGCAACGGCGUUAGCCACUGCUCGAUACUCAGCCUCGGCACUCGAGCGGGAGACGGUGGACUGUCGCUUGGAGGACCAAGAGAUCAGGGACGGCCCAAGGUAGACACAGUACCCCGAGGUGGAGCGCCGUGUGUCUGGGCAGCCGGCCCAGUCCGCAUCAGAGUAGGCGACGAGGUCGGUGGAGGCGGAGGCCGUCAGCGUAAGUCCCAAGGACUGGGUGCCGCGUAUGUAUCGGAGGAUACGCUUCACCAGAGUCCAGCGAGAGUCGCACAGAGCAUGCAUGUGAAGACAGGCCUGCUGAACAGCAUACUGCAAGUCGGGGCGCGUCAGGGUCAGGUACUGCAAGGCGCCCACAAUGGAGCGGUAGAAUGCUGCAUCAGAUGCAGGCGAACCCUCCAAAGCGGAAACCUUGGCCUUGGUGUCGACGGGCGUGGGAGCGGGCUUGCAGUUAAGCAUGCCAGCUCGGUCGAGAAGCUCAUGGGCAUAGCGCUGCUGAUGCAGGAAGAACCCAUCUGGCCGCCGAACCACCUCAAUGCCAAGGAAGUAAUGCAGAGGACCCAAGUCCUUCAGGGCAAACUCAUCGCAAAGAUGAGCAGUGAGCCGCUGAAGAAGCGCGACCGUGGAUGCCGUCAGAAUGAUGUCAUCGACAUACAGCAGCAAGUAGGCCGUGUCAACUCCAUGAUGAUACACGAAGAGGGACGCAUCGGAGCGAGUCGAUGUAAAUCCGAGCGUCUGCAGGAAGGUGGCAAUGCGCUGGUACCAGGCCCGAGGUGCCUGCUUCAACCCGUAAAGAGAACGGGAGAGCAAGCACACAUGAUCUGGAUGCAUGGCGUCGACGAAGCCGGUGGGCUGCUCACAGAACACCUGCUCAGCCAGGUGGCCGUGCAAGAAGGCGUUGGACACGUCCAACUGAUGCACAGGCCAAGUUCGGGACACGGCUAG
rnacentral:rRNA from 1 species